CGUGUAGGCGGUUCGGUAAGUCAGGUGUGAAAUCCCUUGGCUCAACCAAGGAAUGUCAUCUGAAACUGCCGGACUUGAGUACGGGAGAGGAGAGUGGAAUUCCCGGUGUAGAGGUGAAAUUCGUAGAUAUCGGGAGGAACACCCGUGGCGAAGGCGACUCUCUGGACCGAUACUGACGCUGAGACGCGAAAGCGUGGGGAGCAAACA
rnacentral:rRNA from 1 species